ensembl:lncRNA
UACUCUGUUUAUCUGUAAUCAAGACAUUUUAUAAAUGUGAUGUAAUUGUUGUGUUGAUUUGUAUAAUUUUUUUUUAUUAGUUAUGAGAAAGACAUAUCAACGUCCACACCAUCGAAAAGUGGAUUUACAAUGGCACCACCACCUGUAUCCACUAUUGUCUCGGAGUCGCUUUCUGACCGAGAUGAUGACUUCUCAGUCCCUGGAGUUGAAGAGUUGGAUAGUAGCAGCGUACAGGAUAAAAACAUUCAUUACAUGUGAUUCUGACAUGAUGUCACUACAUGCACUGUGCUCCUUCCUCUCCGCUCGUCUCAGGUAAAUAAUGCGUCUUCCAACUCAGUGGUCAGAGUCGCGCGUUCAUGUGUUUUGGGGGCGUGGCUUUGGAAGGAGCCCAGAAUGGAGGGGGUGGAGUGAAUGGAAAUAAUGAGCUGUGUUUAAAACAGUCGUGAGAGGUCUACAGACACUCGAUUUUUAUACUUUCUUUUUCAGAGUACUUACAUUUUAAUUAUGUAUUGAUAUAUAUAUAUAUAAAGUUUAAACAAAUUUGGAAAAAAAGUUUUUUAUACAUUUUUUACCUACCCUGCCUUUAAAGGGUAACAUCUCAGCAAAAUUCUGUUUCACCGGGGUCUGAACCGAACCUUCAUGAUCACAUUACCUAUGAACUGACAUAAUAUUAUAAAAAUACACUUGGGAAGGCAAAGAGUUGGGAUUUUUUUUUAAUGUUUCUGAAAGAAGUCUCUUAUGCUCACCUAUAGGCUUAAUUUAUUUAAUUAAAAAAGUAAUAUUGUAAAUGUUAUCAAAAGUAAUUAAAUAUUAUGAAAAUAUAUAACAUUUUCUAUUUGAACAUAUAUUAAAAUGUAAUGUAUUCCUGUGAUAGCAAAGCUAAUUUGCGCCAGUUGCUUCAGUGCGAAUAGUUCAAAAUCGUUUAUUUUAAGAUAGCGGCUAUUUGCACUAAGUGUAGCCUAAAUGGCGAUAGAGGCUAUUUACACUAAGUGAAAAUAGCAUAUUUUCUUAGCGAUAGAUGCUGUUUACACUAAGUGCAAAUAGCGAUGAAUGUUAUUUACACUAAGUGCAAAUAGAUAUAUAUUCUAUUUAAACUGUUAAAAUAGCAGGAUUUUCUGCUAUUUACACUACUUAUUGCAAAUAGUGGCAAUUAUCUGCACCUCAGUAUUGUAGUACACAGUGUUGGGUAAGUUACUUUCAAAAAGUAAUUAAUUACUAUUACUAAUUACAUCAUCAUUAUUGUAUUUAAAUUACUUUACUAAUUACUCUGAAAAGUAACUUAGUUACUCAAUAAGUAACUUAAUUAUUUAAAUCGCUAAUUAGGCUACAUCUUAAAAUCCCUAUAAACCUUAAUAGAAAUUAAACUAUUUAUUCUUUCAAUUUGAGUCAAACAUAGAAUAGUUUAGCCUUUUAGCUUUAAAACAACUGUAAUACUUAAACAUUUUUAUAUAUAAAAUGUACAUAUAUAUAUAUGUAAAAUGUAACUUUCUUUGGUUAACAAAUAGAAAUACUCUGAAUAAUAACAUAUCUGAAUAACAAAAAAGCUUAAGAAAAGUUAAACAAUACAUUUCAGUUUGUUCAGUACGGAGCCCCGCACAUGACAUGCAAGAAAAGAUAAAUAAAUUGUGUGCACGAUUAACUAAUUAAUUCCCU